CCUCAGUCCGAGCAGAGCCGACCCUUUCCUUCUGCCAUAGCCGAGCCUCACCCCUUGCAUGAGUUGCUGCCUCGGGUUCUACCGAGCCUUUGGUUUAGGGUCAGUGGUUAAAUCUAGUACCAGCCACAGUUUUGGCAACGGGUGCAUCCUCGACAAAUUAACGACAAAGUAUACGGAUUUGGGACUUUGAUUCGAGACGAGU